rnacentral:rRNA from 1 species
UGGGGAAUAUUGCACAAUGGGGGAAACCCUGAUGCAGCGUCGCCGCGUGAUCGAAGAAGGUAUUCGUAUCGUAAAGUUCUGCCCUAUGGGAAGAUAAUGACAGUACCAUAGAAGAAAGCUCCGGCUAAAUACGUGCCAGCAGCAGCGGUAAUACGUAUGGAGCGAGCGUUGUCCGGAAUUAUUGGGCGUAAAGGGUACGCAGGCGGUUUAAUAAGUCGAAUGUUAAAGAUCGGGGCUCAACCCCGUAAAGCAAUGGAAACUGAUAAACUUGAGGAGUUGAGAGGAGAGUGGAAUUCCUAGUGGAGUGGGUAAAUACGUAGAUAUUAGGAGGAAUACCAGUAGCGGAGGCGACUUUCUGGACACAAACUGAAGCUGAAGUACGAAAGAGUGGGGAGCAAACAGG